CCACCGGCCUUAUUUUAUUGGUUUCUAAAGCUGGGGUAAUGAUUAAUAGGGACAGUUGGGGUCGGUCGUAUUGAAUCGUCAGAGGUGAAAUUCUAUGAUUGAUUCAAGACGAACUGGUGCGAAAGCGUCCGACAAGGAUGUUUCCGUUAAUCAAGAACGAAAGUUGGGGGAUCGAAGAUGAUCAGAUACCGUCGUAGUCCUAACCAUAAACUAUGUGGACCAAGGAUCCGAGGAUGUUCCAUGGAUGACUCUCCGGGCACUUUGUGAGAAAUCAGAGUAUUUGCAUUCCGGGGGGAGUAUGGCCGCAAGACUGAAACUUAAAGGAAUUGACGGAAGGGCACCACCAGGAGUGGAAUCUGCGGCUUAAUUUGACUCAACACGGGGAAACUC
rnacentral:rRNA from 1 species